GAUCUGGUAUGCAGAAAGUAAUUAUUUUUUUGUAACAAUCAAUACUAGCGUGAUGAGAAGAUAACCAAUCCAUGCCAAGUAUAAUAUCAAACUCUAAAUCUUUAGGAGAACUAAAUCAGCAAAAAGUUCCAGUUCUCCAAUAAAAUCAGACAAGAGGACCAGAUUCAAGUUCGUUAUCAAAAAAUCUCCAAUGAUCAUAUUUACAUAUAACACAAUGCAAUGGUCUAGGUUGCAUACCCAAGUGAUAAGCAAAAUAUUACGAAUCAAAUCGUAGAUAGGACCCAUGGUCAAACAAAUAUUUACAUUCUUUCAUAAGCAUGCAUAAUUCCUUCGAUCACUAAUUCAUAAGUUUUAGAAUCAUAUUCAGUGAUAGCAUACACUCCGAUAUGGGCAGAUGAUUUAUGAGGCAAUGACUCUUUCUUAUUGUUCAAAGGGCAGUCUUUUAUUUUAUGAUCCAACUUUCCGCACGCAAAAUAGACUCUAGCCACCCACAAACACAAACUUGUUUCAUAAUUUAACUUGCAA
rnacentral:lncRNA from 1 species